rnacentral:lncRNA from 14 species
AUGCUGACUCGGCUGAAAGCAAAAUCAGAGGGGAAGCUUGCAAAACAGCUAUGCAGAGUUGUGCUGGAUCAGUUUGACAAACAGUAUUCGAAAGAACUUGGGGAUUGCUGGAGUAAAGUAAGGGAUGUUCUGAUAUCUCCAUCGCUGUGGCAAUAUGCUGACCUCUUCAAACGAUUCAGUUAUCCCUCUGAACUGGAAAAGACCUUGCUCUUGCGGGGCUAUCACACAGUCCUUCAGGACGCUUUGCCACAUUAUCCCAAGUCAAUGAAGUGUUACCUCAGCCGAACUCCAGACCGAAUGCCUUCAGAACGACAUUAGCCGGGACGUUUGAAGACGUACUACCUGCUUAAUGCUGCUUCUCUUCUUCCAGUACUGGCUCUGGAACUGAAGGAUGGGGAGACAGUCCUGGACUUGUGUGCCGCUCCUGGAGGCAAAUCCGUAGCUCUGCUUCAGUGCGCUUAUCCAGGUACUGUCUGCUCUGUCCUCACCCACAUUGUUCCACGAUUCAGUGUUUCAGAUACCUGGAAGGCAGAUGAAAAGAGGUGCGAGAACGAGGGUGCAGGGUUAGGAAUCCUCAGUAACAGGAGGACAGCGUGAGUCAGAGUGAAAACCACAGCUGAGGAGGAAUCGGAAAGUGCACUGUCUGAUGCAGAACUCCAUUCUGGGAGCCCACACCUCCCAGAGAAUGUGACUGAGUUCUCGGAAGCUAACUGAGGAGGGUUUUGAGAUUUUCAUUUGCUGUUUGUGCUUAGUUUCACUGGGGAUGACACUCGGGGCUUCUCCGUCUGAGUAAGUGUUCUGCCACUGAGCUCCUUACAUUAGAGAGGUUUGUCUGCGUGUUAUUGUCAUUGCUCUUUGUAAAAUACACAAAAAUCCACUUAAAACUGUUUCAUUGUGCUCUUCCUUAGAGUGUACUGUUCUGUUCAGUAGAGGUAUGCUAGGUAACACAUACAGUUUCAAAUUUUUUAAUAUUCUCAUUUGAAAAAAGUAAUAAAUGGUGAAAUUAAUUUUUCAGAAUACUAAGAUAAUGUCCCUUACUAAGGCACGUAAUCAUAACAGAGGUGCUAGACGAAGUAUUUUAUACUCUCAUGUUUUUAGAGAUCUUUACGUUAUUUUCUUCCUAAAGCACUUGUCAAGUCCUCAUGAUCACAUUUGGCAAGGGAAGAUAGGAUUAAGCAAUGCAGUAAGUUCUUCUAGAGUGACAUUGUUAUGGUUAAUACUGGUGUAAAGUGUAGGGGCUGGGAUGUGUGUCAGACAGUACAGUGUUUGCCGUGAGCUUGAGGACCGAAUAAGCUUGUAUUCAGAGCAGUGCAUUUCAAAGACAGUACUGGGCAGAUUGCUUUGUGCCUAUCAGUGUGCCGCCUGAGGAGGUAGAGACACAGGGCUGCUCCCUCGACCUGCUUUUUCAACCCAAAUGUGCGUGCUGGCACGCAUGCGCGAGAGCGCGCACACACACACACACACACACACACACACACACACACACACCACUUCAUUGUACAAUUAUAUUGAUAGAGGUGAUCAUUUUACACAAGAGCUCUUGCUAGCUGAGCCUUGUGUCCAGUCUCUUCAUGGUUUAAAUUAACUUUUUUGAAGUACUCAGGCUUCUAAACUGUAACACAUUUUUCUUAAGAUUAGGGGUGAGUGAAAAGCUAGUUUUUAUUUGCACCUUGGCGAAUGGCCAUGUGGAAGGAGAUGUUUUUAGGAAGUGGAUGAUCUAAAAAGUGAUUUGUUCAGAUUCCCCAAGCUUUCCUGUCUCUUAGAAAGGCAUUAUUUUCCCCAGGACAUACAUACAGCAGUUUGUAGAGUGCUAAUUUAUUUCUUCCUUUGAAAACCUGUGCUGUUGAAGUAAGCUUUUGGAAACAUUCAAAAUAUUAAGCCACAUUUUCGCUUGAUACAGAUAUAUUUGGCUCUGGUACAGAUAUAUUGAUAUUUAGAAGGAAAAAACACCUAAACACCUAAUAUGUUUUACAUCUUGGAUAUGAUUUUGAAAAUGAGGUUUUCUGUAUUUUGACAUAAGAACUAAAAAUAAAUAGGCUAGAAUUUAGAAUACAUUAUUAUUUUUAUAAUCUGAGG